GCGGGGUUAGCUCAGCUGGUAGAGCACAUGCCUUACAAGCAUGGGGUCGGGGAUUCGAGCUCCUCACUCCGCACCA
rnacentral:tRNA from 1 species